rnacentral:rRNA from 1 species
UACGUAGGGUGCAAGCGUUAAUCGGAAUUACUGGGCGUAAAGCGUACGCAGGCGGCUUUGCAAGACAGGUGUGAAAUCCCCGGGCCUAACCUGGGAACUGCAUUUGUGACUGCAUGGCUAGAGUCUGUCAGAGGGGGGUGGACUUCCACGUGUAGCAGUGAAAUGCGUAGAGAUGUGGAAGAACACCGAUGGCGAAGGCAGCCCCCUGGGAUGAGACUGACGCUCAUAUACGACAGCGUGGGGAGCUAACAGC